UACGAAUGUGGCAAGCGUUGUUCGGAAUUACUGGGCGUAAAGCGCACGCAGGCAGUCUGUUAAGUCAGAUGUGAAAUCCCCGGGCUCAACCUGGGAACUGCAUUUGAAACUGGCAGGCUUGAGUCUUGUAGAGGGGGGGUAGAAUUCCAGGUGUAGCGGUGAAAUGCGUAGAGAUCUGGAGGAAUACCGGUGGCGAAGGCGGCCCCCUGGACAAAGACUGACGCUCAGGUGCGAAAGCGUGGGGAGCAAACAGG
rnacentral:rRNA from 1 species